GAGAGCCACAGCUAGAAGUCAUUUAUAAUGGAAAAAAUUGUACAUGCUCUCCCACCUGUAGGCUGUGGCUUAACAGUACCUGCUGAGUUGUGAGCACGUAUAUAUUCCAUGGAAUUCCCAAUAUGUAUCUUCUGAUCAAGGAUUCCUUAGAACAAUUCCACUGAAUGGAAAGUGUGACCAGACCACCUGAGUGAUACCUGGCUCAUCCUCCACGUUAGAUGUGCUCACAUAUAUUCAAAAUAAAAAAGUUACAAAACUAGUCAGCACCAGAAGAAAGUAUACGGCUGCACCAGAGGAAUUUUGGACGUUUACCAAUGUUGCUUUUCAGCUGCUUCAUCCCCAUUGCUCUUCUGUCCUACACGUGAGAGGCCAGCACUGGUGGUGUAAAUUCUGCCCUGGGGUCCUACUGCUUGUUCUCCAGGAAUCACCUGCUGAUCAGCAAGGAGACAGGCACCAAGUAGCUCAGCUCCAACUGAUGUGAUAGCUGUACCCUAUCCAGUCAUCAGUUGAAACCCACUGGAGUUUCAAAGGGCCUGGAGUUGGGUUUAUUAAGCCCAUUAUCAUCAAGGUAUGCUGGAUUAUAUAUAGAAUUCAAAUUUUUCUCUAAUAAGAUACUCUUUAUGUGUCAAGAGUUAUUAAAUAUUUCCAUGUUAUGAGAAGACUGUGAAUGUUUUUGUUUACCAGCACUUUGAUUAGCAGGCUUAUGGGCAGUUGUACGGAUACUACAGGUGAGAUACAGCUUAUUUAUACUAUUUUUAGAAGAGUUUUGAUUGGAUAUUGAAAUGUUUUCAGUUCUGUGAUUUAAAGAAAAUAUUUCUUUUGCUGGACUUCAUACUCACAGGGAAUUAGCAUAAAAUUUUGUUUCAAUAGUAUGAACAAUUAAUUUGGUGAAACAUUACUUUUCACAUCACUGAUUCCUCUGCCAUUUUCCUUAGAAGUGCACCAACUGUUGAACUUAAAAAUAAGCCAUUAACAACUUCAGUAAGUGGAAUCUAUGCCCGUAUGACAACUGAUAGCAAUUUCAGCAUCCUCCUUGUUUUCAAAGAACAUUUCUGAUGUAAAAUAAGACUGUAGAACUCAUAAAGUAUUGGAAAUUCAUUGUAGAGUGUAAUUAUCUGACUUCUAAUAAUUACCAAGAAAUGCGUGUAUGGACUUGAAAUUUAUAUUACUAAUUGAAUAAAUAAGAAC
rnacentral:lncRNA from 1 species